AUUGGAGAGCCCAGCAGCAACGCAGAGUUGGGUAAACUCAGCUUGAGGCUCAGGCUCAGCUUGCCGCUGGCAUCAAAGGAGCAGCCAGUGUUCCCAGGGGAGACAUCGACAAAUAUGACAACUCUUGUAAGAUUUUUAAAAGACAAGCCAACCAAGACUGCUUGCUUGGAAGAUUGGAAAGAAAGUUGAAGGGGACAUGCUCUUGCUGAUAAAUACAGAACUCUACUGGUCAUUACAAGCCUCAAACCUGUGAAAGGGAUGAGAAGAAAAAUGAAAAUUUCACUUUCUAGAAAUGAGGAAGUCUUUGGUAAAUGGUGUUCACCUGUGUUAUUGCUAGCUGAGAACAAAGCCAUUGGGAAAAACAACUUCACUGUGGAGAAAUCUGAUGCACGGAUCUAAAUCACAUGGUCGAAGUUACCAUCAACAACACUGAAACACACUGACAUUCCUUACCUGCUCUUAUAGUUCACAAGGGAGGACACAAUUCUUAAAGUCCCGCCCAGAAUGCAUUCCUUGACCCAAUCUAAGAGGCAGCAUCCCCCGUUCUCUAUGGGUCAGCUUUCUGUUACUAUAAUAAAAUACCUGAAAGAAA